rnacentral:rRNA from 1 species
AAUAUUGGACAAGGGGGGCAACCCUGAUCCAGCCAUGCCUCGUGUGUGAAGAAGGUCAUCGGUUUGUAAAUAAUUUUAAGUUGGGAGGAUGGGCUUUAGGCGAAUACCCUGAAGUUUUGACGUUAGCAACAGAAUAAACACCGGCUAACUCUGUGCUAGCAGCCGCGGUAAUACAGAGGGUGCAAGCGUUAAUCGUAAUUACUGGGCGUAAAGCGCGCGUAGGUGGUUCAGUAAGAUGGGUGUGAAAUCCCCGGGCUUAACCUGGGAACUGCUUUCAUAACUGCUGAGCUAGAGUACGGUAGAGGGUAGUGGAAUUUCCUGUGUAGCGGUGAAAUGCGUAGAUAUAGGAAGGAACACCAGUGGCGAAGGCGACUACCUGGACUGAUACUGACACUGAGGUGCGAAAGCGUGGGGAGCAAAC